GAUCCCGUGGCCCAGUGGUUCAAGGCGCCUCCCUGACACGGAGGAGGUCGGUGGUUCGAUUCCACCCGGGAUCAC
rnacentral:tRNA from 1 species